rnacentral:rRNA from 1 species
GAUGAACGCUGGCGGCGUGCCUAAUACAUGCAAGUCGAGCGAACAGACGAGGAGCUUGCUCCUCUGACGUUAGCGGCGGACGGGUGAGUAACACGUGGAUAACCUACCUAUAAGACUGGGAUAACUUCGGGAAACCGGAGCUAAUACCGGAUAAUAUAUUGAACCGCAUGGUUCAAUAGUGAAAGACGGUAUUGCUGUCACUUAUAGAUGGAUCCGCGCCGCAUUAGCUAGUUGGUAAGGUAACGGCUUGCCAAGGCAACGAUGCGUAGCCGACCUGAGAGGGUGAUCGGCCACACUGGAGCUGGAACACGGUCCAGGCUCCUGCGGGAGGCAGCAGUAGGGAAUCUUCCGCAAUGGGCGAAAGCCUGACGGAGCAACGCCGCGUGAGUGAUGAAGGUCUUCGGAUCGUAAAACUCUGUUAUUAGGGAAGAACAAAUGUGUAAGUAACUAUGCACGUCUUGACGGUACCUAAUCAGAAAGCCACGGCUAACUACGUG